CGGGAUAUAGCGCAGUUUGGUAGCGCACGUCGUUCGGGACGACGGGGUCGCAGGUUCAAAUCCUGUUAUCCCGA
rnacentral:tRNA from 5 species